CACGAACCCGACAAACGUUAUUCGGAAUUAUUGGGCUUAAAGGGUGCGUAGGCGGUGCGGUAAGUGCGGUGUGAAAGCCCACGGCUCAACCGUGGAAUUGCGCUGCAUACUGCCGUGCUGGAGGAAGACAGGGGUAAGCGGAACUGAUGGUGGAGCGGUGAAAUGCGUUGAUAUCAUCAGGAACACCGGUGGCGAAAGCGGCUUACUGGGUCUUUUCUGACGCUGAGGCACGAAAGCUAGGGUAGCUAACGGG
rnacentral:rRNA from 1 species